rnacentral:rRNA from 1 species
AUUGAACGCUGGCGGCAGGCCUAACACAUGCAAGUCGAGCGGAUGAAGGGAGCUUGCUCCUGGAUUCAGCGUCGGACGGGUGAGUAAUGCCUAUGAAUCUGCCUGGUAUUGGUUUAUAACGUCCGCAAACGGGCGCUAAUACCGCAUACGUCCUGAGGGAGAAACUGGGUGAUCUUCGGACCUCACGCUAUCAUAUGGGCCUAGGUCGGAUUAGCUAGUUGGUGGGUUAAAGGCCUACCAAGCCGACGAUCCGUAACUAGUCUGAGAGGAUGAUCAGUCACACUGGAACUGGACCACGGUCAUGACUCCUACGGGAGGCAGCAGUGGGGAACAUUGGACAAUGGGCGAGAGCAUGAUCCAGCCAUGCCGAGUGUGUGAAGAAGGUCUUCGGAUUGUAAAGCACUUUAAGUUGGGAGGAAGGGCAGUAAGUUAAUACCUUGCUGUUUUGACGUUAACAACAGAAUAAGCACCGGCUAACUUCGUG